GAUGAACGCUGGCGGCGCGCCUAACACAUGCAAGUCGAACGGCACCCCUCUCCGGAGGGAAGCGAGUGGCGAACGGCUGAGUAACACGUGGAGAACCUGCCCCCUCCCCGGGAUAGCCGCCCGAAAGGACGGGUAAUACCGGAUACCCCGGGGUGCCGCAUGGCACCCCGGCUAAAGCCCCGACGGGAGGGGAUGGCUCCGCGGCCCAUCAGGUAGACGGCGGGGUGACGGCCCACCGUGCCGA
rnacentral:rRNA from 1 species